rnacentral:rRNA from 1 species
GAACGAGAAAGGGGAGCAAUCCCUGAGUAAAGUGGCGACCGGGUGAGUAACACGUGACCAACCUACCCUCGAGUGGGGAAUAACUCCGGGAAACCGGAGCUAAUACCGCAUAUUCUGACGAGGUCUGCGGACUUUGUCAGGAAAGGAGCAAUUCGCUUUGAGAGGGGUCCGCGGCUGAUUAGCUAGUUGGUGGGGUAAUGGCUCACCAAGGCCACGAUCAGUAGCCGGUCUGAGAGGACGGUCGGCCACACUGGAACUGAGACACGGUCCAGACUCCUACGGGAGGCAGCAGUGGGGAAUUUUUCGCAAUGGGGGCAACCCUGACGAAGCAACGCCGCGUGGGUGAUGAAGUAUUUCGGUACGUAAAACCCUUUCGACGGGGACGAAACCGCAAGGUUGACGGUACCCGUAGAAGAAGCCCCGGCUAACUCCGUG